rnacentral:rRNA from 1 species
AUUGAACGCUGGCGGCAUGCCUUACACAUGCAAGUCGAACGGCAGCGCGGGGCAACCUGGUGGCGAGUGGCGAACGGGUGAGUAAUGUAUCGGAACGUACCUUUCAGUGGGGGAUAACGUAGCGAAAGUUACGCUAAUACCGCAUAUUCUGUGAGCAGGAAAGCAGGGGAUCUUAGGACCUUGCGCUGAUUGAGCGGCCGAUAUCAGAUUAGCUAGUUGGUGAGGUAAAGGCUCACCAAGGCGACGAUCUGUAGCGGGGCUGAGAGGAUGAUCCGCAACACUGGAACUGAGACACGGUCCAAACUCCUACGGGAGGCAGCAGUGGGGAAUUUUGGACAAUGGGCGCAAGCCUGAUCCAGCCAUGCCGCGUGAGUGAAGAAGGCCUUCGGGUUGUAAAGCUCUUUCAGCCGGGAAGAAAACGCAUGGGUUAAUACCCUGUGUGGAUGACGGUACCGGAAUAAGAAGCACCGGCUAACUACGUGCCAGCCGCCGCCGUAAUAC